AUAUAUCUGGAUGAGAGUAGCGCACGGGUGCGUAACGCGUAUGCAAUCUGCCAUUGACUGGGGGAUAGCCCUCCGAAAGGGGGAUUAAUACCGCGUAAUAUAAUGAAGGGGCAUCCCUUUAUUAUCAAACCUCAGGGGGUCAAUGAUGAGCAUGCGUUCGAUUAGCUAGUUGGUGAGGUACGGCUCACCAAGGCGACGAUCGAUAGGGGGUCUGAGAGGAUGAUCCCCCACACUGGUACUGAGACACGGACCAGACUCCUACGGGAGGCAGCAGUAAGGAAUAUUGGACAAUGGGCGCAAGCCUGAUCCAGCCAUGCCGCGUGCAGGACUAAGGCCCUAUGGGUUGUAAACUGCUUUUGGACAGAAAAAAAUCUCUCGACGUGUCGAGAGUUGAUGGUACUGUCAGAAUAAGGAUCGGCUAACUCCGUGCCAGCAGCCGCGGUAAUACGGAGGAUCCAAGCGUUAUCCGGAUUUAUUGGGUUUAAAGGGUGCGUAGGCGGAUUAGUAAGUCAGUGGUGAAAGCCUGCAGCUUAACUGUAGAAUUGCCAUUGAUACUGCUAGUCUUGAAUAUAGUUGAGGUGGGCGGAAUAUGACAUGUAGCGGUGAAAUGCUUAGAUAUGUCAUAGAACACCAAUUGCGAAGGCAGCUCGCUAAGCUAUUAUUGACGCUGAGGCACGAAAGCGUGGGGAGCAAACAGGAUUAGAUACCCUGGUAGUCCACGCCCUAAACGAUGAAUACUCGAUGUUGGCGAUACACAGUCAGCGUCUAAGCGAAAGCAUUAAGUAUUCCACCUGGGGAGUACGGUCGCAAGACUGAAACUCAAAGGAAUUGACGGGGGCCCGCACAAGCGGAGGAGCAUGUGGUUUAAUUCGAUGAUACGCGAGGAACCUUACCUGGGCUUGAAAGUUAGUGAAUUCCGCAGAAACGCGGGAGGCCGAAAGGACACGAAACUAGGUGCUGCAUGGCUGUCGUCAGCUCGUGCCGUGAGGUGUUGGGUUAAGUCCCGCAACGAGCGCAACCCCUAUGUUUAGUUGCCAGCACGUAAUGGUGGGGACUCUAGACAGACUGCCUGCGCAAGCAGUGAGGAAGGUGGGGACGACGUCAAGUCAUCACGGCCCUUACGUCCAGGGCUACACACGUGCUACAAUGGAUGGUACAACGGGUUGCUACAUGGUAACAUGAUGCUAAUCUCUAAAACCAUUCUCAGUUCGGAUUGAGGUCUGCAACUCGACCUCAUGAAGCUGGAUUCGCUAGUAAUCGCGUAUCAGCAAUGACGCGGUGAAUACGUUCCCGGGCCUUGUACACACCGCCCGUCAAGCCAUGGGAGUUGGGGGUACCUGAAGUCGAUAACCGCAAGGAGUCGCCUAGGGUAAAACCGAUGACUAGGGCUAAGUCGUAACAAGGUA
rnacentral:rRNA from 1 species